rnacentral:rRNA from 1 species
CGGGGCGCAGCAGGCGCGAAAACUUUACAAUGCGGGAAACCGCGAUAAGGGGACACCGAGUGCCAGCAUCCUAUGUUGGCUGUCCAUAUGUCUAAAUCACAUGUGUUAGCAAGGGCCGGGCAAGACCGGUGCCAGCCGCCGCGGUAACACCGGCGGCCCGAGUGGUGGCCACUAUUAUUGGGUCUAAAGGGUCCGUAGCCGGUUUGGUCAGUCUUCCGGGAAAUCUGACGGCUCAACCGUUAGGCUUUCGGGGGAUACUACCAGGCUUGGGACCGGGAGAGGUAAGAGGUACUACGGGGGUAGGAGUGAAAUCUUGUAAUCCCUGUGGGACCACCAGUGGCGAAGGCGUCUUACCAGAACGGGUCCGACGGUGAGGGACGAAAGCUGGGGGCACGAACCGGAUUAGAUACCCGGGUAGUCCCAGCUGUAAACUAUGCUCGCUAGGUGUCAGGGACGGUGCGACCGUUUCUGGUGCCGCAGGGAAGCCGUGAAGCGAGCCACCUGGGAAGUACGGUCGCAAGGCUGAAACU